UUCUCCUCCAGACGGCAACUAUGUUGGUCCUCCAGAAGAAUCAUGAGGCUUUUAGUGCUCUGCUUGGUGGAUAAUGUCCAAUCCAGGAAAACUUCUCCAGUUACAGAUGAACUCGAAAGGCCUGACUAGGAUAAGGAUGUGAGCUCUCAGCUUCAGGAUCCUGACACCAUGCCUGCCUCUUGCUACCAUGCUUCCCUGCCUUGAUGAACUCUUACUCCUCUGGAACCGCCAGUCAAAUAAACCGUUCUAGAAACC